rnacentral:rRNA from 1 species
CCAAUAGCGUAUAUUAAAGUUGUUGCAGUUAAAAAGCUCGUAGUUGAAUUUCGGGGUUAGUAGGUUGGUCAUGCCUCUGGUAUGUACUGGUCUCACUGAUUCCUCCUUCCUGAUGAACCUUAAUGCCAUUUAUUUGGUGUUUUGGGGAAUUUGGACUGUUACUUUGAAAAAAUUAGAGUGUUUAAAGCAAGCUAACGCUUGAAUACAUUAGCAUGGAAUAAUGAAAUAGGACGUUCGAUCCUAUUUUGUUGGUUUCUAGGAUUGACGUAAUGAUUAAUAGGGAUAGUUGGGGGCAUUAGUAUUCAAUUGUCAGAGGUGAAAUUCUUGGAUUUAUUGAAGACUAACUACUGCGAAAGCAUUUGCCAAGGAUGUUUUCAUUAAUCAAGAACGAAAGUUAGGGGAUCGAAGACGAUCAGAUACCGUCGUAGUCUUAACCAUAAACUAUGCCGACUAGGGAUCGGAUGAUGUUAAUUUUUUAAUGACUCAUUCGGCACCUUACG